rnacentral:misc_RNA from 1 species
AAGUCGUAACAAGGUUUCCGUAGGUGAACCUGCGGAAGGAUCAUUACUGAACUGUCAACACGAGUUGUUGCUGGUCCUCAAACGGGGACAUGUGCACGCUCUGUUUACAUACCCACUCACACCUGUGCACCCUCUGUAGUUCCGUGGUGCGGGGGGCUCUGUCCUCCUGCCGUGGUUCUAUGUCUUUACAUACACACAGUGAUAAAGUCUUAUGGAAUGUAUGUCGCGUUUAACGCAAUACAAUACAACUUUCAGCAACGGAUCUCUUGGCUCUC